AGACAUUAUCAUAAAUAUCUAAAGGUGAGUAACAGGGAGGCAAGUUUAAACAACAAAUCACAAACCAUUUCAUAAUGUUUUCAAUUUAUUUCUUAAACCAUAAAAUAUUUGUAAUUUACCAAAACAAUUGUUAAGGCUUAUGUCUUUUAUAAAAGAAAACAAGGACCAAGCCAAAACUAAUCCUCGGGGAUACCUUGGCCGAGGCAUCUAACCGAGUCCGCCAAGGUUGUUAUAACAUUUACAUAUGAAACACAUUUUUAUUUUUAAAACAAGUCGUUCCUUGGCGUUGGCCGAGUUACACAUUCACGUGGGCGUUCGACGUGAAGUGAGCUCUAAUACUACCCUAGGAGUUACCCUCCUCGCCUCUACAAUCGGAGUAACUAUAUAAUCGGGUUUACCGCGUCCCUCUAAUAGGUAGUCCACGAAAACCCGUCACUACAGUGACUAACCCACCAAUUUUAAUAAAAUUUUGACAGUAUAACGUGGCUUUUAUUUAUUUAUCCAACCUGCAUAGUAAAAACAGCUUACAUAAAUUUCCCAAUGCACUUAUAAAAUAUAGCCACAUAUACUCAUAUAUCAUAAGCCAUUCAUAGGAAAAUAUAUAAUUUUCAAGACAAUUAACAGCCUCCAAUUACUCAAUUUCAUAAUCAACACAAUAUAUCUUUAUUUGUCACAUUUAUUUGUAAAACAUCAAAAAUCCUGUUUUAAUCUCGUUUUUAUUUCAUAAAAUACAUAAAGAGCAUUUAAAAAUAAACUCUAGAUAAUUUACAAUAAUAAUAAGUUUACUCACCGUUUGUACAAACUAAUUGCUUUUUAGGUGCCCCGAUAACUACUCGUCGUGUACGAUUUUCUUGCCUUUACCGAAAAGCUCUCCUCCUAGACACAUUGCAAAAAUUUACUCAAUUCAUCACAUUAAUGCUAAAUCACUACAUAUUUGACUUAAAUCCUAUACUAAUGCAUGGUAUGAAAUGCAAUAGACAAAAAUGGCUUAAACGCGAUAUUAACCUAUUUUUGGCACUUUACCC
rnacentral:lncRNA from 1 species